ensembl:lncRNA
GCGGAGCAGGGGGCGGAGUGAUUGAUGACAGCGCGCGUGCCCCUGAACUCCUCAUCAAAGUUCUUCUACAGGGUUGGCAGCCCUGUGCUGAAAGCUGCUCUGUAGCUGAGGCGGCAUAUGGACUGCUGACAGAGCAGCUGCUGGGGAAGAAGACGCUGAAAGGAAGCCUCUAGGGAUAAACAGAGAAACCCAUGGCACCACGUGGCACCCAAGGCAGAAUUCUCAUCCCCUUCACGCUGUGCUGACUGGGGCAAGGGUGGUAAACCAGGAAAUUGAAGUAUCUGAGGAAGACACCUGUCCCGAGAAAGCCUGAC